UACAGAGGCCUCGAGCGUUAGGCGGAAUCACUGGGCUUAAAGCGUGUGUAGGCGGACUUCUAAGUACCUUGUGAAAUCCCACGGCUUACCCGUGGAACGGCUGGGUAUACUGGUUGUCUUGAGCCACUUAGGGGCUACCGGAACAAAUGGUGGAGCGGUGAAAUGCGUUGAUAUCGGAAGGAACGCCGGUGGCGAAAGCGGCGUGCUGGCCCUCUUCUGACGCUGAGGCGCGAAAGCCAGGGGAGCGAACGGG
rnacentral:rRNA from 1 species